CAACGCUGGCGGCGUGCCUAAUACAUGCAAGUCGAGCGGAAUGAUGAAGAAGCUUGCUUCUUCUGAUUUUAGCGGCGGACGGGUGAGUAACACGUGGGCAACCUACCUUGUAGAUUGGGAUAACUCCGGGAAACCGGGGCUAAUACCGAAUAAUCCAUUUUGCUUCAUGGCGAGAUGUUGAAAGACGGUUUCGGCUGUCACUACAAGAUGGGCCCGCGGCGCAUUAGCUAGUUGGUAGGGGUAAUGGCCUACCAAGGCGACGAUGCGUAGCCGACCUGAGAGGGUGAUCGGCCACACUGGGACUGAGACACGGCCCAGACUCCUACGGGAGGCAGCAGUAGGGAAUCUUCCACAAUGGACGAAAGUCUGAUGGAGCAACGCCGCGUGAGUGAAGAAGGUUUUCGGAUCGUAAAACUCUGUUGUAAGGGAAGAACACGUACGAGAGUAACUGCUCGUACCUUGACGGUACCUUAUUAGAAAGCCACGGCUAACUACGUG
rnacentral:rRNA from 1 species